rnacentral:lncRNA from 1 species
UCGACCUUAUUGCGUACUACUACUAGUACCAUGCACCGCCGGAGAUCGCCGCGGACAGCAACAUCUCGCUCGCUCGACCGGUCCGGUCCCCGCCAGCUACUUCCUGCAAGACCGGAUGAAUGCGUGAUCAUUGGACAUACGGCGCACGGCCUCGUCCGCCAUGCCGGGCAGUACUGGUACCGCGACGUGGCCUCUCCCCCCACACCACACGCAGAUGCAUCUGGGCGACGACGCCUUCUCGGUUCUCGCUUGCGGCUCCGCGCCGUCUCGGCCGGCGUAGCUAGCUAGCGAGCCAAACAAAGGUGAGUGAUUGAUUCAACCUGGACGC